rnacentral:rRNA from 1 species
UAACGCUGAGGUGUGAUGACGAGGCACUACGGUGCUGAAGUGACAAAUGCCCUGCUUCCAGGAAAAGCCUCUAAGCAUCAGGUAACAUCAAAUCGUACCCCAAACCGACACAGGUGGUCAGGUAGAGAAUACCAAGGCGCUUGAGAGAACUCGGGUGAAGGAACUAGGCAAAAUGGUGCCGUAACUUCGGGAGAAGGCACGCUGAUGGUAAGUGAAGUGACUUGCUCAUGGAGCUGAAAUCAGUCGAAGAUACCAGCUGGCUGCAACUGUUUAUUAAAAACACAGCACUGUGCAAACACGAAAGUGGACGUAUACGGUGUGACGCCUGCCCGGUGCCGGAAGGUUAAUUGAUGGGGUUAUCCGUAAGGAGAAGCUCUUGAUCGAAGCCCCGGUAAACGGCGGCCGUAACUAUAACGGUCCUAAGGUAGCGAAAUUCCUUGUCGGGUAAGUUCCGACCUGCACGAAUGGCGUAAUGAUGGCCAGGCUGUCUCCACCCGAGACUCAGUGAAAUUGAACUCGCUGUGAAGAUGCAGUGUACCCGCGGCAAGACGGAAAGACCCCGUGAACCUUUACUAUAGCUUGACACUGAACACUGGUCCUUGAUGUGUAGGAUAGGUGGGAGGCUUUGAAGUGUGGACGCCAGUCUGCAUGGAGCCAUCCUUGAAAUACCACCCUUUAAUGGCUGGUGUUCUAACGUGGGCCCCUAAUCGGGGUUGCGGACAGUGUCUGGUGGGUAGUUUGACUGGGGCGGUCUCCUCCUAAAGAGUAACGGAGGAGCACGAAGGUCAGCUAAUCCUGGUCGGACAUCAGGAGGUUAGUGCAAUGGCAUAAGCUGGCUUGACUGCGAGCGUGACGGCGCGAGCAGGUGCGAAAGCAGGUCAUAGUGAUCCGGUGGUUCUGAAUGGAAGGGCCAUCGCUCAACGGAUAAAAGGUACUCCGGGGAUAACAGGCUGAUACCGCCCAAGAGUUCAUAUCGACGGCGGUGUUUGGCACCUCGAUGUCGGCUCAUCACAUCCUGGGGCUGAAGUAGGUCCCAAGGGUAUGGCUGUUCGCCAUUUAAAGUGGUACGCGAGCUGGGUUUAGAACGUCGUGAGACAGUUCGGUCCCUAUCUGCCGUGGGCGCUGGAGAAUUGAGGGGGGCUGCUCCUAGUACGAGAGGACCGGAGUGGACGCAUCACUGGUGUUCGGGUUGUCAUGCCAAUGGCAUUGCCCGGUAGCUAAAUGCGGAAGAGAUAAGUGCUGAAAGCAUCUAAGCACGAAACUUGCCCCGAGAUGAGUUCUCCCUGACUCCUUGAGAGUCCUGAAGGAACGUUGAAGACGACGACGUUGAUAGGCCGGGUGUGUAAGCGCAGCGAUGCGUUGAGCUAACCGGUACUAAUGAACCGUGAGGCUUAACCUU